UUAUUCCUCGAAAUGUUUUUGUAAUGAGCAAAAUUUAAAAAAAAAUGGACAAUCCCCAUUACGCUUUAGAUACAGUCGCGAAUGAAAUUAUAGUUUACUUUGUACUGCUUCAUAUUCAUACGUGCGUCGUUUAAGGUCCUACAAUGGUAUUUUGGCACCUGGCCAAAAUUGGUACUAAUGCCAAUGUCUUAUAAAUUGACAGCUGUUGUGAACCAAGUUGCGACAAUCAUUUCGGAAGCAAAUAUUUCAAUUGAGUCUAAAUUUGAUCUCGUCAAAGCCUUACAAGAUACAACUUUUAAUUAUUGUUUACAAACAGUACAAAACGUUUCUGCCUUACAAUUUUCCGAAUGAUUUAUCUAAUAAACCAGAAUAUAAUAUAAGUUUUUAAAACUAAAUCGAAAUAAUUAUAUUAAAAUAAAUGAAAAAUACCACAGUUGCAUCACAUGCGAACAAAAAUAGAAAACAUGAGGUGAUAGUUAUUGUAAUAUUGAGUUACAGAAGUAAUACAUAGUUACAAAUAUGAAAAACAUCUUGCCUGUACUUUUUAUUUGUAAAUUAGUAACGUAUAUUCCAUUUUAUACUGCCAAUCAUACCAAAAUGUACAUCUUAAUUAGAUAUUUAUUUUAUGAACAUUUCGUUAGUUUAAUACAAAUAUAACCUCCUCCUUUUUGGAAGUCGGUUAAUAAAGUGUAAUGAUUAUAAAGACAGCGAUAAAGAUAAAAAUUCAAGGCAUCUUAAAAAGCUUAGAUCUACUAUCGUAGACUUGAAAAAAAAGUCGCGUGAAUUUGCGUACGCGCUCGCUGGCGGUUGGUUGUAAAUAUACGUCAGAUCGAGUCUCAUACAUAUAUUACUAGCUAUAAAUGUCACUGUCCAUAGGCAAUUUAUACUCUAUGGACUGUAGUUGUCAACAGAGUAUAAAACGCACAAUCAACGCGUUUUUUGGUUAAUGGCCCAUAACUAAAAGCCAUGUACUCGAUAUUGUAUGUAGGUUAAUAAUUGAAUCAUUGACUGAACGUUGUAUCAUAAGCUGUAGUGUACAUUUUAAGUAGAUCUUCACUCUGUGGUCACAUUUUCGUAAAAAAACUUAACCUUAUUGACUAAAGAAAAUAUUUUUUUGUUAGAUGAUUACUCCAUUAACAUUAUACUUGACCAAUAGCGAAUCAAUGUUUGGACUCCAAGAGAGUGGACCAAAAACGAAAAAUUGACAAAAAUAGCUUGUUUUUAAUGCUGGGUCAAAUUAAGUUUUUGCCUUGCGCUGCCACUGCUAGAAAUCUCUAAAAGUAUAAGAGGUACAAUUAUUUUUUAAUGUGUAAAUUUAAAUGAAACAAGAGGCUUCGCUUUAGUUAUUAUUUAUGUACUCGUAAUAAUCCUUACUAUAAUUCCUAAAACGUCUUCCUCGACAAGUUUUUAUCACUAACAACAAACCUUUUCCUAUUGUGGUAAUUAUUUUACUAUUUAGUACUUAUUUUAUCAUAACGGUAAUAUUCUGUCGUAAUAGCGCUGCACUCGAUUCUCGAUCGAUCGAUCGAUCUGCAUUAUAGAGGCAAAAUUACGACCGCUACGAAAUAGUCUUAGAUGAGAAAAUGUAUUUUGUUUACUGGCAACAUACGGUGUUAACAUAAUAUGCGAGAUAAGUCAAAUACAUAUUUUUUAUACAUAGUGAAAUUCUGUUGUAGUCUUUCGAUGUAAGGAUAUUUUUCUUAUUUUAUCGUUAAAAUAAUUUAAACUUUCGUGUUAUGAUAAAAUAUGAUGUUUGAGUUAAAUGAGAAAAUGAGCAAUUUGUGUGGGGCAAGAUAUGUAUCUGUGAUAAUGUUUUGUGAGUUAGCCGUGUAUACUGUACAUACUGAGGGUAGUUGUGAAUACAUAUUGUGUGAUUCAUCUGUAACGUAGAUGUAAUAGCAGAUAGAGACUGUAUUAUUUAUAAAAUUUAAUGUAAUAUAUUAGCAGAUUUAUUAAUAAAAUGUUUAGUUUUACUUU